UAUUUUCAUUUCUCAUACUUCUAACAAAGUGUGCACCUUUUUAUAAAAGUUUUAUUUUCUAACCAUUCGUAGUUAGAAAAUGCAGAUGGUAGAAAUUAACAAGCACCUUUGUUAGAUGAACGUUUUCUAGAGAUUUUAGAUGUUUUUGAUUGUAUAAUCUAUAUAAUUUUCUGUCAUUUUUGAAAUGUAUUCCAAAAUUUACUGUUAAACUAACAUGUGAUUCUGUAAGCCUCUUCUUCGGUGAUUAUGUUAUGUUUACCACCAUAUUUGGAUGUGUGCUUUAUCAGAAUGGUAAUCAUCGAUUCAUCCUCAUCCCUCAUCAAUCAAUCAAUGGAAUAUCAUCGAUCAUGGACAUGUCAACUUUUUUAACAAAAAAUGUUGUAUACACAACUAUGUGAUUUUUAACUUUUGCUUUGUUUUAAAAAAAACUGUUUACUCUUGUCAAGAAAGCAAGAGUUUAAAAUACAUAGUGUAAAUAUUGUAAUUUGAAUAAAUGUCCCUGGUCAGGGAAAAUUGAAAAUAUUAAAUAUUAUUUUUUGUA